rnacentral:rRNA from 1 species
UACGUAGGGAGCAAGCGUUGUCCGGAAUCAUUGGGCGUAAAGCGCGCGUAGGUGGCCAUGUAAGUCCGCUGUGAAAAGUCAAAGGCUCAACCUUUGAAAGCCGGUGGAUACUGCAUGGCUAGAGUACGGAAGAGGCGAGUGGAAUUCCUGGUGUAGCGGUGGAAUGCGCAGAUAUCAGGAGGAACACCGAUGGCGAAGGCAGGUCUCUGGGCCGCAACUGACGCUGGAGGAGCGAAAGCAUGGGGAGCGAACAGG